rnacentral:lncRNA from 12 species
UCCACAGCAGGAUUUGUGCAAAAGAACAGAAAAACAGGCUAUCGCCAGGCUACUAAUAAAACUGGAAAAUAUCAGUUGUAAAGGUGAUAAUUGCAUUUUACACUUUCUAUGCUCAGAACAAUCCAUCUAUUGUAUUAUUUUCUAUUUAUUUUGUGAAAAUGGUCUCUCGAGGAAUUGUUGUUUUGAUUUACUAGAAUGUGUUUUGUGUGCCAAACUCUGUAAGAUCUCAUGAUUUUGAACUCCCACUUAAGUGUGUGAACUCAACGCACUGCCGCUUUGCAUUGUUUCUCUUAUAAAGCACCGCGUCACUGAAUCUUUUGUUGGAGCCGUAAACUGCAUCUUUUGUACUAGGCCAAUCAAUGCUGUAUUUCUGCUUUUCCCUCACAUCAUUUCAUGUUUUUGGCACAGACUGCAUCAGAACAAUGGUACAAAAAAAUAUAUAACCAAGCCGUCUCACAAUAGACGAGUGCUAGAAGCAAGAUUCAUCCACCCACUUGGAUUAUGUCGUGUUGAAACAGAAGGCUGGAGAGGGAAGCUUUGUUCCUCCGUAGGGGCUUUCCUGACUCAGUGAUUACGACUGCCAGAACUGGGAAAAAUCCAUUAGUUAGGUAAGAACACUUCAGCAGACAUUCAGUUGAAAAUCUAGAGGAGGCAUUUCUGAGGAGAGUAUUGAUUGAGAUGCUUUUUGUGCUCAGCAGGUUUGUGCCUUCAGCGCUGACGGUCCAGAGGUCUCUUAAUAUACGAGCGUGUGCCGUUUAAUGAAAGCCGUGUGCGAGGCCUCCCAUGCUGUGAUUGCUCAGCAGGUUUGCUCCUUUCAUGACUCAAAGCCCUCCUAAGAGAUAAUUUCCCUGGAUUGUGUUCUUUGGUCCACCUAAGCUUUUACUUCUAUUAUGAGAUACAGAUAAUUACUAGAUUGUUUUCCUACUGUAUUUAGAAAAAUAGCAAAUGCAUUUCAAGUGUAGCAAUUUAAAGACACUAUGAAAUCAAAAUGGUGUUUUGGUUCAACUUGUGUAACUUCUUAAAAUAUGCUUUUAAAAAUAAAUGCUUU